UAAAAAACCGCAGUACACUGACUGUGCAAAGGUAGCAUAAUCAGUUGGCUUAUAAUUGAAGUCUAGAAUGAACGAAAUAACGGGUAGUAGCUGUCUCAUAAAUAAUAUUACAAUUUAGUAAGUAAGUGCAAAAACUUACAACAUUAUAAUAGACGAGAAGACCCUAGAAAUUUUUAUAUAAGUUUUUGUUGGGGCGGCAGAGUUAUAUAAUGUUGUAAGUUUUGCACUUACUUUAUAUAACAUGUAGUAAAAGAGACAGAUACUCUAGGGAUAACAGCAUAAUUUUAAAGUUUGUGACCUCGAUGUUGGACUAGGAAAUGC
rnacentral:rRNA from 1 species